UGAGGUAGUAGAUUGUAUAGUUGUGGGGUAGUUAUUUUACCCUGUUCAGGAGAUAACUAUACAAUCUAUUGCCUUCC
rnacentral:pre_miRNA from 1 species